UACGUAGGGUCCGAGCGUUGUCCGGAGUUACUGGGCGUAAAGCGCGCGCAGGCGGCUCGUUAAGACUGGCGUGAAAGCCCCCGGCUCAACCGGGGAGGGUCGCUGGUGACUGGCGAGCUUGAAGACAGCAGGGGCAGGUGGAAUUCCCGGUGUAGUGGUGAAAUGCGUAGAGAUCGGCAGGAACACCAAGGGGGGAACCCAGCCCG
rnacentral:rRNA from 1 species